rnacentral:lncRNA from 1 species
GUCCAACUUAAUAAUUAGGGAGAUGCAUAGGUUAUUAAAAGGAAGUAUGGACUAUGGUGUCAAAAUGAAAGGCCAGGGCCCUAACCCAAAAUGCAACAUCAUUAAGGACCAGCAGCUUGACUGAAGUCCAAAUAUUUCACCUCGAAAAGUGAACCCUUAACACUAGGACAACCAUGGAGAGUGAGGUGGCAGGUGAAUCGGGUGAUGAAGGAAGCAGAAAACCCUAAGACAUCCUUUCUAAAAAUUCAAUGAAUUAGACGUUAAUCUCGUGGCUGCAGGCGAAGAAUUUUUUGACAAGAAUAAAGAUAUUUGGAAACAAAUAACAUUUACGAAAUACAUAUAUGUAAUGGUGACAAGGAUGGGCUGAGUCAUAGGACUACAUUAACUCCUUUCAUUUGGGAACAUGGUUAGAAUGGAAACUUGAAGAAUAUAUCUAUAGACGAAGAUCAAAUUGCAAAAGAUAAGGAAAUUUCAAAACUCUUGAACCGGUAAAACCAAGUUCAG